UACGUAGGUGGCAAGCGUUGUCCGGAAUUAUUGGGCGUAAAGCGCGCGCAGGUGGUUUCUUAAGUCUGAUGUGAAAGCCCACGGCUCAACCGUGGAAGGUCAUUGGAAACUGGGAGACUUGAGUGCGGAAGAGGAUAGUGGAAUUCCUAGUGUAGCGGUGAAAUGCGUAGAGAUUUGGAGGAACACCAGUGGCGAAGGCGACUGUCUGGUCUGUAACUGACGCUGAGGCGCGAAAGCGUGGGGAGCAAACAGG
rnacentral:rRNA from 1 species